CUGAAGGGAGAGGAGGGAGGGGAGAGCCGCAGCCUCGUCGCCUCAGGAGCGGGGCCUAGGCGGGGCGCCAGCAAAAGGCUCCGUCUCAAUGCAUUGACUCUCCACUAGGGGCGUGUUUUGUUUUUUCUCUUUUCUCAUUUCAGCCCCACAAAACAGCCCUGAGAGGGCAGAAGCCUGGAAGGGGGGGGGGAUUCCUCUGAGGAUUUCAAACCUCCUCCUCCUUCUUCCCACACAACUCUGAGAGGGGCAACCUCAGCUGGGAGAAAGUGGCUGCUGCCUCAAAAGAGCCUCUUCUUGGUGCUGAAAUGGCUAUUUUGUAGCCUUCAGAUAUCCCCACAGCCCUGUGAGGCUCCUCUGGCUGGGAGAGAGUGGCUGCCUCUCAAAAGAGCUUAAUUCUCUAGGGGCAAUUUACUGCCCUUUAAAGGUGUCCACAGCCCUGUGAGGCUCCUCUGGCUGGAAGGUGGUGGCUGCCUCAAAAGAGCUUAAAGCUUGAAUGGCAAUUCUGUGUCUGGCCUUGGGUGUUUCCAGGGUUUUAUUAUGGAUGGCUUCCCACCCAUUAUUUCUAUAUGCUGCUUGCAAUAUUGUUUAAAUACAAACUUAAAAUAUUGUUUAAAACCAAAAUAGGCUUUAAAUAGGAUAAAAUCUAAUACGCAUAGACUAAAAUAGAAAAUAAUAGGAUAAAAUCUAAACAAAGUAAGCUAGUGUAGUAUAGGCAGGUCAUUAAUUUAAUAGGGAAAGUUAACAAAAAAUAGUGUGAAGCAUUUUCAAAGCAGAUUAAAUAUUUUAGAACAAUUAGUGUAUUAAAAUAAUAUUCAAGAAAGCAUAUAGAAAUAAGGGGGAAAGCUUAUCAAUAAUAAAAAUCAGAAACCCCAGAAAGCCUAGGACUUCUUCCUCAACAGCUGUCCUUAAAAGAGCUGUGAGGGGCUAGAUCCAAGCCAGGAUGAAUGCCCAGACACUUCUUGCUCAGAGCAGCCCGCAAGGUAGCUGGAGUGGGCCUUUUCAUGUGGAUUUAGUAUUUUGCUUUGAGUAGUAACCCCUGUUCUAGCCAGAGCAUAGCUUUCUCAUAAUGGACUUUCUCUCGUUGCUCUGCAUAGCCCCUCAUUUAGCAGGAGUGUGCCUUUCUCAUUGUGGGCUUCACAUUUUUGCUCUGAGAAGCCACUCAUUUAGCUGAACGGUGGCUAACUCCAGUCCUGGCUGCAUGACUUUGCCCUUCAUGCUAUGCGAGGGAAGUGAGGUGUCAUCUCUUGACUUGACCAGACCAUAAUCUUCAGCUUGCUCUGUCCUACCCACGGAAGAAAUGAGGGGUGGUGGAAGUGCGGCAUCCCUGACCUCUUCAAGCAGUGUGGUGUGCUGAACAGGCUUUGCUGGCUGAAGAAAUGUGGCAAAGCGGAGAAAAGACAGAAGAAAGAACUGCAGAAGAAGAGAGAAAAAGGAUCAGGAAGGAGCAACAGGAGACAUGAAAAGUGAAGAGGAAGGAGGAGACUGGCGUUAAGAAGCUUCCCAGAAGAAACGGGCAGGUUCUGCUACUACAAGUUGGUUGGCUUGGUUGCUGGUUUUAACUGCCAGUGUUCACUCUGAGUUGCAGCUGAUUUAUGUGGCUUUCUCAUGCUGGACUUCAUGUCUUUGCACUGAGGAGCCCUUAGAAUGGUUGGAGUGUGGCUUUCUCAGAAUUGACUUAAUGUCAGUGCAUUGAGAAGCCCCUUACUUGGGUAGGAUCUGGCUUUCCCAUGCUGGAAAAAGCCCUGAAAAUGGUUGGAGCAUGGCUUUCUCAGGCUAGACUUAAUAUUACUUGCACUGAGGAGCCCCUAGGUUGGCUGUGAUGGUUGGGAUGUGGCUUUAUAUGACUGGACACUAUGUCUUUACUCUGAGUAUCCCCUAAAAUUGUUGGAGCAUGCCUUCACAGGCUGGACUUAAUGUCCGAGCACUGAGGAACACCACAUUUGGGAGUGGUAUGGCUUUUCAGGCUGGACUUCAAGUCUUUUCUCUGAGUAGUCCCUGAUUUGGCUGGAUGGUGGUCAACUCCAAUCAUGGCUUCGCCUUUCAUGCUCUGAGUGGUGGUGAAGAGGCAUCUCUGACCUGCAUAGACCACAUUCUUCAGUUGGGUCUGCCCUGCCUGUAGCGGAAGCGAGGGAAGGUGGAAGUGUGGUAUCUCUGACCUCUUCAAGCAGUGUGGUGUGCUGAGCAGGCUCUACUGGCUGAAGACACAUGGCGAAAGGGAGAAAAGUCAGAAGAAAGAACUGCAGAAGAAGGGAGAAAAACAAGCGCAAAGGAGCAACAGAAGAUGUGAAAAGUGAAGAGGCUGGAAGAGGUGGCGGCUGCUUUUAAAGAAGUUUCACAGAAGAAAUGGGCAGAUUGUGCUUCCACAGGUCUUUGCGCUGAGGAGCUGCUAAUUUGGCUGGAGAAUGGCAACCACCUAUCUUUGCUGUGUGGCUUGGCCCUUCAUGCUCUGAGAGGUGGUGAUGAGGUGGGAUCUCUGACCUGCACAGAUUGUAUUCGUGAGCUUGGUUUGCCCUGUCAAUAGAAGAAGUGAGCAACGGUGGAAGCAGCGUGGUGUGCUGAGCAGGCCCUGCUGGAUUUGGUAUGUGAAUGGCAAUAGGCAAUGCAUUAUAAAUGGGACAGCAAAAUGUCCUUCUCAGGGUGGACGUAAUAGUCCUUGCAUAAGGAGCCCCUAAUUUGGAUGGGAUGUGGUUUCUCAGCCUGGAUGUAAUAUUCCUGUCUCUGAGAAGCCCCUAAAUUGUGGCAACUUGGACAUCUCAGGGUAGACUGCAUGUCUUCACACUGUGGAGCUCGUAAAUUGUUGCAAUGUGGCCUUCUCGGGCUGUAUAUAAUAUUCCUUGCACUGAGAGCCCCUAGUUUGGCUGGGAGGUGGCUCUUUCAGGCUAGACUUCAUGUCUUUGCACUGAUGAGCCCCUAAAGUUUUUGGACCAUCGUGUUCUCAGACCGGACAUGAUAUUCCUGUCACUGAGGAGUCCCUAAUUUUGCUGGGAGGUGUCUUUUGAGGCAAGAUCUCAUGUCUUCACACUGAGGAGCUUCUAAAAUUGUGGCUACUUGGCCUUCUCAGGCUGGACUUAAUAUUCCUGUCUUUGAGGAGCUCCUAUUUAUUUAUUUAUUUAUUUAUUAUUAAUUAUUUAUUACAUUUAUGUCCCGCUCUUCCUCCAAGGAGCCCAGAGUGGUGUACUACAUACUUAAGUUUCUCCUCACAACAACCCUGUGAAGUAGGUUAGGCUGAGAGAGAAGUGACUGGCCCAGUCACCCGGCAAUUUGUGCUACUUGGCCAUCUCAGGCGGACUUAAUAUUCCUUCCACUGUGGGGACUGUAAUCUGGUGAGGAUGUGGCUGUUUUAGGCUAGACUUCAUGUCUUUGCACUGAGGAGCCCCUAAACCUUUUGGACCAUUCUGUUCUCAGGCUGGACAUUAUAUUCCUGUCACUGAGGAGCCCCUAAUUUAGCUGGUAUGUAGCUUGUUCAGUCUAGACUUCACGUCUUUGCACUGAGGAACCCCUAAAUAAGAACAUAAGAGCAGCCAUGCUGAAUCAGGCCCAAGGCCCAUCUAGUCCAGCAUCUUGUUUCACACAGCGGCCCACCAGAUGCCGCUGGAAGCCACCGGCAGGAGUUGAGGGCAUGCCCACUCUUCUGCUGUUACUCCCCUGCUACUGGUACUCAGAGGCAUCCUGUCUUUGAGGCUGGCGGUGGCCUCUAGCCCUCUGACUAGUAGCCAUUGAUAGACCUCUCCUCCAUGAAGUUAUCCAAACCCUUCUUAGAGCCAUCCAGCUUAUCUGUCACCACAUCUUGUGGCAGAGAAUUCCACAAGUCGAAGUACGUGUUGUAUGAAAAAGUACUUCCAUUUGUUGGUCCUGGAUUUCCCAACAAUCAAUUUCAUGGGACGACUCUGAUUCCAGUGUUAUUUAAGAGGGAGAAGAAUUUCUCUCUAUCCACUUUCUCCACAACAUACAUGAUUUUAUACAUCUCUAAUAUGUCUCCCUGCAGUCGUGUUUUACCAUUGUGUUCUCAGGUUGGAAAUAAUACUCCAGCAAUGAGGAGCCCCUCAUUUAUCUGGUAGGUGGCUCUCUCAGGCUAGACUUCAUGUCUUUGCACUGAGGAGCCCCUAAAGAUUUAGGACCUUUGUGUUCUCAAGAUGAACAUAGUAUUCUUUGCACUGAGAAGCCCCUAGUUUGGCUGGGAGGUGGCUUUUUGAGGCAAGACCUCAUGUAUUCGCACUGAGAAGUCCCUAUAUUUGAGGCUACUUGGCCUUCUCAGGCUGGAUGUAAUAUUCCUGUCAUUGAGGAGCCCCUAUUUAUUUAUUUAUUUAUUUAUUUACACAGUCAGAGAGGUGUUAUUGACUGGUUUGUUUUAUCCAGACAUCGAGUCCUUCCCAAGGUCCUGGGAUGGCUAUUAUUAUCAAUAUCAUUAUUACAUUUAUAUCCCGCUCUUCUUCCACGGAGCCCAAAGCGUUGUACUGCAUACUUAAGUUUCUCCUCACAACAACCCUGUGAAGUAGGUUAGGCUGAGAGAGAAGUGACUGACCCAGAGUCACCCGGCAACUUGUGGCUGCUUGGCCUUCUCAGGCGGACUUAAUAUUCCUUGCACUGCAGGGACUCUAAUCUGGUGAGGAUGUGGCUUUUUCAGGCUAGACUUCACGUCUUUGCACUGAGAAGCCCCUAAACCUUUUGGACCAUUGUGUUCUCAAGCAGGACAUAAUAUUCCUGUCACUGAGGAGCCUCUAAUUUGGCUGGGAGGUGGCUUUUUCAGGCAAGAUCUCAUGUAUUUGCACUGAGGAGGAGCUGCUAAAAUUGUGACGACUUGGCCUUCUCAGGUUGGGCUUAAUAUUGCCUGCACUGAGGUGCCACUAAUGAGGAGGGGAUGUGGCUUUUUCAGGCUGAGCUUGAUGUCUUUGCAUAGAAGAGCCCCUAAAUAAGAACAUAAGACCAGCCCUGCUGGAUAAGGCCCAGGGCCCAUCUAGUCCAGCAUCCUGUUUCUCACAGUGGCCCACCAGAUGCUGCUGGAAGCCACAGGAAGGAGUUGAGGGCAUCCCCUCUCUUCUGCUGUUACUCCCCUGCUACUGGUACUCAGAGGCAUCCUGCCUUUGAGGCUAGAGGUGGCCUCUAGCCCUCUGACUAGUAGCUGUUGAUAGACCUCUUCUCCAUGAAGUUCUCCAAACCCCUCUUAAAGCCAUCCAGCUUAUUGGCUGUAACCACAUCUUGUGGCAGAGAAUUCCCCUCUAUCCACUUUCUCCACAACAUGCAUGAUUUUAUAGACCUCUAUUAUGUCUCCCUGCAGUCGUUUCGGACCACUGCGUUCUCAGGUUGGACAUAAUACUCCGGCAAUGAGGAGCCCUUCAUUUGGUUGGAAGGUGGCUCUCUCAGGCUAGACUUCAUGUUAUUGCACUGAGGAGCCCCUAAAGGUUAUGGACCAUUGCAUUCUCAGGCUGAACAUAGUAUUCCAUGAACUAGGGAGCCCUUAAUUUGCCUGAGAGGUGGCGUUUUCGGGCUAGACUUCAUGUCUUAGCACUGAGGAGCCCCUAAAAUUGUGGCAUUUGGCCUUCUCAGGCUGGGCUUAAUAUUGUUUGCACUGAGGUGGUCAUCAUUAGGAUGGGAGGUGGCUUGUUCAGGCUAGACUUUAUGUCUUUGUACUGAGCCCCCCAAAUUGUGGCAACUCUGCCUUAUCAGGCUGAACCUAGUAUUCCUUGCACUGAGGAGCCCGUAGUUUGGCUGGGAGGUGCAUGAUUUUAUAGACCUCUAUCAUGUCUCCCCACUGUCAUUUUGGACCAUUGCGUUCUAAGGAUGGACAUAAUAUUCCUGGCACUGAGGAGACCCAAAUUUGGCUGGGAGGUGGCUUUUUCAGGCUGGGCUUCAUGUCCUUGCACUGAGGAGCCCCUAAAAUGGUGGCAACCUGUCCUUCUCAGGCUGAAUGUAAUAUUCCUUGCACUGAGGAGGCCCUUAUUUGGCAGGGAUGUGGCUUUUUCAGGGGGGACUUCAUGUCAUUGCACUGAUGGGAUGGAAGGAGUAUAUAUAUUGGGGGUGUUUGAGAGGCAUAAAAAGAGCUGGAGUCCAGUUGAGUCAGGCUGAGAGAGUCUGCAGAAGAAGAGCUGAGAAAAGGCGACUGGAGAGAGAAACCUGGGAAGAAGAGCUGACAAAAGAAAGCUGGGAGAGAAUGUAGUGUCUGUGUCAUUUGUGUUUGUCCUUUUGUGUUGUGAAAAUUUAAUAAAAAGUAUAUUAAAAAAAGAAAAGAAAACUAAGCUGGGAGAGAAUGAAGGAAGUGGACAACUGGUGGUUGCUGGAGACUGCUGGAGUUGCCCAGCUAGCAAGACAGGACUUUGAGCCAGGCUGGAUUGAGCCCCAGACCUGUGCUUGAGCUGAAAUCACUGAAGAUGGGGUGGGUAGCCAGGCUGGAUUGAGCCCCAGACCUGUGCUUGAGCUGAAAUCACUGAAGAUGGGGUGGGUAGCCAGGCUGGUUUGAGCCCCAGACCUGUGCUUGAGCUGAAAUAAAAGGAGCUGGAGUCCAGUUGAGUCAGGCUGAGAGAGUCUGCAGAAGAAGAGCUGAGGAAAGGCGACUGGAGAGAGAAACCUGGGAAGAAGAGCUGGCAAAAGAAAGCUGGGAGAGAACGAAGGAAGUGGACAACUGGUGGUUGCUGGAGUUGCCCAGCUAGCAAGACAGGACUUUGAGCCAGGCUGGAUUGAGCCCCAGACCUGUGCAAUCCCGUGAACAAAGAAGUCUGCCCAGCCAGCCAGAGAAAGAGAAGAGGAAGAUUCUGAAAGAGAGCCUGGGCAGAACUGAGCAGUGUUAAAAGGCCUACAGAGUGUUUGUUACCCUGACUUGUUAGGUGAGUAUUAUUUUCUGGUUUUCUCAGUUCGGAUCUGAUAUUCCUUGAACUGACAAUGCACUGAUUUAGCAGGGAUGUAGCUUUUUCAGGCUAGACUUCACGUCUUUGCACUGAGGAGCCCCUAAACCUUUUGGACCAUUCUGUCCUAAGGCUGGACAUAAUAUUCCUGUCACUGAGGAGCCUGUAAUUUGGCUGGAAAGUGGCUUUUUCAAGAUAGACUUCAUGUCUUUCCACUGAGGAGCCCCUAAAAAUUUUGGACAUUGGGUUCUCAGACCCAACAUGUCCCUAAUUUGGCUGUGAGGUGGCCUUUAGAGGCAAGACCUCAUGUCUUUGCACUGAGAAGUCCCUAAAAUUGUGGCUACCUGGCCUUCUCAGUCUGAAUGUAAUAUUCCUUGUGCUGAGGAGCCCCUAAUUCUUAUUUAUUAUUAUAGCAAUAGCACUUACAUUUAUAUACCGCUCUAUAGCCAGAGCUCUCUAAGCGGUUUACAAUGAUUUAGCAUAUUGCCCCCAACAUUCUGGGUAUUAUUACAUUUAUAUCCCUCUUUUCCUCCAAGGAGCCCAGAGCAGUGUACUACAUACUUAGGUUUCUCCUCACAACAACCCUGUGAAGUCGGAUAGGCUGAGAGAGAAGUGACUGGCCCAGGGUCACCCAGCAACUUGUGGCUACUAGGCCUUCUCAGGCGGACUUAAUAUUCCUUGCACUGCAGGGACUGUAAUCUGGUGAGAAUGUGGCUGUUUCAGGCUAGACUUCAUGUCUUUGCACUGAGGAGCUCCUAAACCUUUUGGACCAUUCUGUUCUCAGGCUGGACGUGAUAUUCCUGUCACUGAGGAGCCCCUAAUUUGGCUGGGAAGUGGCUUUUUGAGGCUAGACUUCAUGUCAUUGCACUGAGAAGCCCCUAAAAUUGUGGCAACUUGGCCUUUUCAGGCUGGACUUAAUAUUCCUUGCACUGAGGUGCAACUAAUUAGGAUGGGAUGUGGCUUUUUCAGGUGGGGCUUGGUAUCUUUGCACUGAAGAGCCCCUAAAUAAGAACUUAAGAACAGAACUGCUGGUUCAGGACGAAGGCCCAUCUAAUCCAGCAUCCUGUUUCUCACAGUGGCCCACUAGAUGCCACUGGUAGCCACUGGCAGGAGUUGAGGGCAUUCCCUCUCUCCUGCUGUUACUCCCCUGCUACUGGUACUCAGAGGCAUCCUGCCUUUGAGGCUGGAGGUGGCCUUUAGCCCUCUGACUAGUAGCCGUUGAUAAACCUCUCCUCCAUGAAGUUAUCCAAACCCCUCUUAAAGCCAAUCCAGCUUGUUGGCUGUCACCACAUCUUGUGGCAGAGAAUUCCACAAGUCAAAGUAUGCGUUGUGUGAAAAAGUACUUCCGUUUGCUGGUCCUAGAUUUCCCAGCAAUCAAUUUCAUGGGAUGACCCCUGGUUCUAGUGUUAUGUGAGAGGGAGAAGAAUUUUCCUCUAUCCACUUUCUCCACAACAUGCAUGAUUUUCUAGACCUCUAUCAUGUCUCCCUGCAGUCAUAUUGGACCAUUGCGUUCUCAGGCUGGACAUCAAACUCCAGCAAUGAGGAGACCCUCAUUUGGUUGGGAGGUGGCUCUCUCAGGCUAGACUUCAUGUCUUUGCACUGAGCAGCCCCUAAAGGUUUUCGACCAUUGCAUUAUCAAGCUGCACAUAGUAUUCUUUGCACUCAGCAGCCCCUAAUUUGGCUGGGAGGUUGCUUUUUGAGGCUGGGCUUCAUGUCUUUGCACUGUGGAUCCCGUAAAGCGUUUGUAGCAUUGUGUUCUCAGGCUGGACAUAAUAUUUAUGUCACUGAUGACCCCAUGAUCUGGCGGGCAGGGUUGCUUUUUCAGGCUAAGCUUCAUGCCUUUGCACUGAGGAGCAGCUAAAAUUGUGGCAACGGCCUUCUCAGGCUGGGCUUAACAUUGCUUGCACUGAGGUGGCUAUCAUUAGGAUGGGAGGUGGCUCUUUCAGGCUUGACCUCAUGUCUUUUCCCUGAGGAGGCCCUAAAAGUUUUGGCCAUUGUGUUCUCAGGCUGGACAUAAUAUAACUGUCACUAAGGAGCCCCAAGUUUGGCUGGGAGGUGGCUUUUUCAGGCUAGACUUCAUGUCUUAGCACUGAGUAGCCCCUAAAAUUGUGGCAACGUGGCCUUCUCUGGCUAGAUCGCAUGUCUUUGUACUGAGCCCCCCCAAUUGUGGCAACUCUGCCUUCUCAGGCUGAAAGUAUUCUUUGCACUGAGGUGGCCAUCAUUAGGAUGGGAGGUGGCUUUUUCAGGCUAGACUUCAUGUCUUUGCCCUGAGGAGCCCCUAAAAUGGUGGCAACCUGUCCUUAUCAGGCUGAAUGUAAUAUUCCUUGUGCUGAGGAGGCCCUUAUUUGGCGGGGAUGUGGCUAUUUCAGGGGGGACUUCAUGUCUUUGAGCUGAUGGGAUGGAAGACAUGUAUAUAUUGGGGGUGUUUGAGAGGCAUAAAAAGAGCUGGAGUCCAGUUGAGUCAGGCUGAGAGAGUCUGCAGAAGAAGAGCUGAGAAAAGGCGACUGGAGAGAGAAACCUGGGAAGAAGAGCUGGCAAAAGAAAGCUGGGAGAGAACGUAGUGUCUGUAUCAUUUGUGUUUGUUCUUUUGUGUUGUGAAAAUUUAAUAAAAAGUAUAUUUAAAAAAAAAAAGCUGGGAGAGAACGAAGGAAGUGGACAACUGGUGGUUGCUGGAGUUGCCCAGCUAGCAAGACAGGACUUUGAGCCAGGCUGGAUUGAGCCCCAGACCUGUGCUUGAGCUGAAAUCACUGAAGAUGGGGUGGGUAGCCAGGCUGGAUUGAGCCCCAGACCUGUGCUUGAGCUGAAAUCACUGAAGAUGGGGUGGGUAGCCAGGCUGGAUUGAGCCCCAGACCUGUGCUUGAGCUGAAAUAAAAGGAGCUGGAGUCCAGUUGAGUCAGGCUGAGAGAGUCUGCAGAAGAAGAGCUGAGGAAAGGCGACUGGAGAGAGAAACCUGGGAAGAAGAGCUGGCAAAAGAAAGCUGGGAGAGAAGAAAGUGGACAACUGGUGGUUGCUGGAGACUGCAGGAGUUGCCCAGCUAGCAAGACAGGACUUUGAGCCAGCCUGGAUUGAGCCCCAGACCUGUGCUUGAGCUGAAAUCACUGAAGAUGGGGUGGGUAGCCAGGCUGGAUUGAGCCCCAGACCUGUGCUUGAGCUGAAAUCACUGAAGAUUGGGUGGGUAGCCAAGCUGGAUUGAGCCCCAGACCUGUGCUAUCCCUUGAACAAAGAAGCCUGCCCAGACAGCCAGAGAAAGAGGAGAAGAAGAUUCUGAAAGAGAGCCUGGGCAGAACUGAGCAGUGUUAAAAAGCCUACAGACUGUUUGUUACCCUGACUUGGUCGGUUGCGGCCCUAUGGUGAACAGAGGGGUCCUCAAGAAGCCAUUCUGCCUUUUCAACGUGGGGUCAGGUGAAGGAGGCCAGUUGGACUGAAAAGCAAAAAGCAUCGAGACCCUGGCGCAUGUAUGGGGCUUCUCUUCUUCGUGUGGAAGAGGAGGAAGAGAAAAAUCAGCAGGGAAGAGCAACUGGAGACUUGAAGAGUGGAGACGCUGGAGGAGGAAAAAGAGACUAGCUUUAAAGAAGCAGCACAGAAGCAACAGGCAGAAACUCCUUCCACAAGUGGAAGAGAACGAAGAAAAGACAGAAGAAACCGCUGCAGAGGAAGGGAGAAAAGCAAGCAGAAAGGAGCAGCAGGAGAUGUUGGAGGAGAAGGAAAGAGAGGAGAAGACAGCCUUGAAAGAAGCUUCACAGAAGAAACGGGCGGGUUGUGCUUCCACCAGUCGACUGGCUUCUUUGCUGGCUUUCUCUCUGCUACGGACUGCUGUGUGUGUAGCCCCUGAGGAAGCUGCAGCGUGGAUGGACUUGCGGGGGUUCAGGUUUUAUUAUUGUUGACAUAUUCUCAUUAUUGCUCUAUGCAGCUUUCAAUAUUUUUUAAUACAAAGUUUGAUUUAUUCCAUUUUUAAGUCACAACAAAAAUAGGAAUUAAAAUAAUAGGAAAUAAAAUAGGAAUUAAAUAGGAAUUAAAAUAGGAGAUAAAAUUAAAUAGGCAACAAAAUAUUAGGAAUUAAAAGAGGGGAUAAAAUAUUAGAAAUUAAAAUAGGGGAUAAAAUAUUAGAAGAUAAAAUAUAGGGUACAACUGAUUAACCAGAAAAAGUGAGCAGAAAAUGGUAUGAAAUGUAUUCUCAAAUCGCUUUAGAUCUUGUUGGAAGGUCAAUUUUUGUAUUAAAAUAAUAAUUGAGCAAGCAUACAGAGGUGACGAGACAAAUUAUGUCAACAACAAUAUACUCCUGGACACUCCAAAGGCCGCCCCACGUAUUGCUCAGAGCAUCCCCCAAAAGAUCUGGAGAGCUGCUUCCUCCAAGCCUGGCUGCUUGGCCUGCCGCUUCCUGCUCUGGGCAGCCCUGAGGACGGUGGCAACAACGUGGAUGGCUUCAUGACCGGGAGAAGCUGCGUCAGCCGGGCAUCUCUGACCUCUUUGGGCAGCCAGGCGGGCUGAGGAGGAGCUGCUGGCUAAGGAUGCACCAUGAGGCGGCUUUGGCAAGAUAUAUCAUUUGUGAAAGUGAUGGAUGAAGCCAAAAAUGGAGCCGAGCUGCUUCUUUCAAAGCAGAAGACAAGACGCCGUUCUUCAAAGGGAGAUGCAGGGAUGGACGAAGGUUCUGAGAAGCUCACUUAUUUCCUGGGCCUGAAGAACAUGAAGAGGGAGAUCUUGGCCUUGCAGGGGAAGAGAGCCAAAGUGCCCUCUUCAGCACAUGCGGGAAUCCCCUAUAACACACCACGGCCACUUCUGUGCUCUGCUUGUUUUUAAUCCUAAGAGAUUUCACUGUGGCAGCCUGUUUCGUACUACAGUUAAUGACAAUACUAUACAUACUGUGGUGGGCGGGGGGUGGAACUGGAUGCUGAAUAUGAUAAAUAAAAAUGUAUCAUCAUUGUGCUACCCUUAAUAGAAUAGCUCUCCUACUGGUUCCCUCAAUUCCCUUUGAAAGCUGUAUGCUCCAAUGCAAUAUAAAUGCAGACACAUGUGUA